AUCUCUAUUGAAGCAAGAAGACCCCCUGAAUUUAAGCAUAUAAUUAAGGGGAGGAAAAGAAACCAACUCGGAUUCCCCUAGUAAUGGCGAGUGAAGCGGGAAGAGCUCAUGUUGUAAAUCUCCAGCUUGCUGGCGAAUUGUAGUCUAAAGGUGCGUGCUCAGUCGUGGUCCCGGGCUAAGUCUGUUGGAAAACAGCAUCAUGGACGGUGACAAUCCGGUUCUUGCCUGGGGUCCCGCGGCGUACGAGCCGUUUCCGACGAGUCGUGUUGCUUGGGAUUGCAGCACUAAGUGGGUGGUAAAUUCCAUCUAAAGCUAAAUAUUGGUGGGAGACCGAUAGCGAACAAGUACCGUGAGGGAAAGAUGAAAAGACUUUUGAAAAGAGAGUAAAAUAGUACCUGAAACUGCUGAAAGGGAAGCGAUUGAAGUCAGUGUUGCUCCUGGUCUUUUUGCCGUCGCCCCCGUGGGGGUUGCGGCGUGGGGCCUGGAGCGUUUCAACAUGCGUUCUGUUCCGCGGGAAAUGUUCAGUGUGCUGGAACCUUCGGGGAAACGCACUGUUCUUGUCGUGGUUAGGACGGAGGACCUUUGCUCCUUUGACUGCGCGUUCCUCUCUCGGGUAUGCUGGUGUCUACUGCUUGCAGUUUUCAUUUUCAUGCUUGCGACUGUGCGUGUUAUUCAUGAGCGAACAUGAUGUUGAAGAAAUGGCUUUAAUUACCCCGUCUUGAAACACGGACCAAGGAGUCUGACAUGUGUGCGAGUCAACGGGCGAGUAAACCCGUAAGGCGCAAGGAAGCUGAUUGGCGUGAUCCCCCCGAGGGGUGCAACGCCGACCGACCUCGAUCUUCUGAGAAGGGUUUGAGUGUGAGCAUACCUGUCGGGACCCGAAAGAUGGUGAACUAUGCCUGAGCAGGGCGAAGCCAGGGGAAACUCUGGUGGAGGCUCGCAGCGAUUCUGACGUGCAAAUCGAUCGUCAAAUUUGGGUAUAGGGGCGAAAGACUAAUCGAACCAUCUAGUAGCUGGUUCCCUCCGAAGUUUCCCUCAGGAUAGCUGGAGCUCGGGCGCGAGUUCUAUCGGGUAAAGCCAAUGAUUAGAGGCAUCGGGGGCGCAACGCCCUCGACCUAUUCUCAAACUUUAAAUAGGUAAGACGUCUGGGUUGCUUAAUUGAACCCAGGCAUUCAAUGAGAGCUCCAAGUGGGCCAUUUUUGGUAAGCAGAACUGGCGAUGCGGGAUGAACCGAAAGCUGAGUUAAGGCGCCCAACUGCGCGCUAACCUAGAUCCCACAAAGGGUGUUGGUCGAUUAAGACAGCAGGACGGUGGUCAUGGAAGUCGAAAUCCGCUAAGGAGUGUGUAACAACUCACCUGCCGAAUGAAUUAGCCCCGAAAAUGGAUGGCGCUGAAGCGCGCGGCCUAUACUCAGCCAUGGGGACAAGUGCGAGGUCCCCAUGAGUAGGAGGGCGUGGGUGUCGUGGGAAAGCCUGCGGCGUGAGCCGGGGUGGAACGGCACCUGGUGCAGAUCUUGGUGGUAGUAGCAAAUA
rnacentral:rRNA from 1 species